GGAGAGGGUAGCAGUGUCACAGAAAGGUUAAAGACUUCCGUCACCAGACUGGGAUUUCUGCCUGACUUGACCAGAAGUUUCAAAGGAAUUGAAAAGGGAAUUGUUUUCUCACUAUCUAAUUCAAUAUUAUUUUGUUUUCAGUUUGUUCUUUUUUUUGGGGGGGGGGGUCUCUUUCAUUUUUCCUAUCUUCCUGUAGGUUACUUGAAUAUUUUCUAAAAUUUCAUUUUGAUCUAUCUGUAGUGCUUUUGAGUGUAUAUUUUACACUCAAAAUAGUGUACCUUUUUAGUGAUUGUUAUGUAGUUUUAAUCACCAUCUAUUUGUUUCAUCAUUUUAUCAGCUCCUGUAAAGUACAGAUAACCUACCUCCCUUUACUUCUCUUUAUUCUCUCGCCUUUGUAGAAUAAUUUUCUUUACUCUUUCCUCUACAUACAUUUAGAACCAUAUUAGACUCUGUUAUAAUGUUUGCUUCAACUGGCAUAAUUUAGAAAAUGCAAUUUAGAAAACUCAAGAGGGAAAGCAGUCUAUUGUAUUGACACAUAUUUUUGCUUACUGUGUUCUUUCUUCUUUCCUAGGCCUCUACUUUAUUUCCUCUCUGUUUAGAGCAUUCAGUCAAUAGUACCAGCUUCUUUGGCUCCAAGUGUGGGAUUCAGGAGGUGUCCUGAAUCAUCUGAAGUGGCAGCCCAGGGCUGUUCUGAACCAAGCUGAGAAAGUGGCACAAUGCUGUGUUGCAGGAAGUGAAAGAUGCCCCUUAGCCUCUGUGUCACUUGCUCAUGCUAGUGACACAGUCAGCAACUACAGAUACAGAGAAGACAGCCACACAGGCUUGGAAGCAGGCAUUGGCCUUUGGGACAAGGAACCCCAGUGGCCCUCACUCCCAGAGCAUGGCCUAAAAAGGUAUGUGUGUGUGUGUGUGUGUGUGUACAUGCAUGAGUAUAUACGUGAACACGUGCACAUGCAUGUGUAUACGUGUGUGUGCAUGUGUGCGUGCUGUGGUUGGGCACAUCACCAUGAGUAUGUUGGAGCAAGGAUUUUCUUUUCUCAAGC
rnacentral:lncRNA from 1 species